rnacentral:rRNA from 1 species
AUGAACGCUGGCGGCGUGCCUAAUACCUGCCAGUCGAGCGAACGGACGAGAAGCUUGCUUCUCUGAUGUUAGCGGCGGACGGGUGAGUAACACGUGGAUAACCUACCUAUAAGACUGGGAUAACUUCGGGAAACCGGAGCUAAUACCGGAUGAUAUUUUGAACCGCAUGGUUCCAAAGUGAAAGACGGUCUUGCUGUCACUUAUAGAUGGAUCCGCGCUGCAUUAGCUAGUUGGUAAGGUAACGGCUUACCAAGGCAACGAUGCAUAGCCGACCUGAGAGGGUGAUCGGCCACACUGGAACUGAGACACGGUCCAGACUCCUACGGGAGGCAGCAGUAGGGAAUCUUCCGCAAUGGGCGAAAGCCUGACGGAGCAACGCCGCGUGAGUGAUGAAGGUCUUCGGAUCGUAAAACUCUGUUAUUAGGGAAGAACAUAUGUGUAAGUAACUGUGCACAUCUUGACGGUACCUAAUCAGAAAGCCACGGCUAACUACGUG